ensembl:lncRNA
AGAACCAUGUAAACAAUGUGUUGACUAAACUAUUUAUAACAUUAACAUUUUAAUGACCUACCUUGCCCUUCUGAGUUCUGUAUAUACAGGUCAAAGUUCCAUGAUGUUAUUCAAUUAGAACCCAUUCAAUUUAAACACCCAUGACCAUCACUCCUCAUCAGCUGCAUCAAAGUGGUACUGAAGGUUCAGUGUUCUAGACUAGAGCACCUAUGGGUGGUCCUGGGAACCAAACCCAUAACGUUGCAGGUGCCAUGUUCUACCAACUGAGCUACAGAGGAACAUGUUUUGUAAAGUCUAAUGUGUAUAUACAGAUUUCUGAUAUGAGUCGGGACGUCUGUCAGGGGACAGACAGGAAAGUAGAAGAGGGAAGUGAUACUGAGUGUGUGCAUUUAAACCAACAAAAUACUUUAUACUAAACACAGGUUAAUACUACUCCUAUACACAACCCACCAUCACUGUGUUUAGGUUUAUACUACUCCUACACAACCCACCAUCACUGUGUUUAGGUUAAUACUACUCCUACACACAAC